AGAGUUUGAUCCUGGCUCAGGAUGAACGCUGGCGGCGUGCCUAACACAUGCAAGUCGAACGAAGCAACCAAGAGGAAGUUUUCGGAUGGAAUCUUGAUUGACUGAGUGGCGGACGGGUGAGUAACGCGUGGGUAACCCGCCUCAUACAGGGGGAUAACAGUUAGAAAUGACUGCUAAUACCGCAUAAGCGCACGAUACCGCAUGGUAUUGUGUGAAAAACUCCGGUGGUAUGAGAUGGACCCGCGUCUGAUUAGCUAGUUGGCGGGGUAACGGCCCACCAAGGCGACGAUCAGUAGCCGACCUGAGAGGGUGACCGGCCACAUUGGGACUGAGACACGGCCCAAACUCCUACGGGAGGCAGCAGUGGGGGAUAUUGCACAAUGGGGGAAACCCUGAUGCAGCGACGCCGCGUGAGUGAAGAAGUAUUUCGGUAUGUAAAGCUCUAUCAGCAGGGAAGAAACUGACGGUACCUGACUAAGAAGCCCCGGCUAACUACGUGCCAGCAGCCGCGGU
rnacentral:rRNA from 1 species